rnacentral:rRNA from 1 species
UGUGCCAGCAGCCGCGGUAAUACGUAGGUGGCAAGCGUUGUCCGGAUUUAUUGGGUUUAAAGGGUGCGUAGGCGGUCCUAUAAGUCAGUGCUGAAAUAUCCCGGCUUAACCGGGAGGGUGGCAUUGAUACUGUAGGACUUGAGUAAAGUUGAGGUAGGCGGAAUUGACGGUGUAGCGGUGAAAUGCUUAGAUAUCGUCAAGAACACCUAUUGCGAAGGCAGCUAACUAAGCUUAAACUGACGCUGAGGCACGAAAGUGUGGGGAUCAAACAGGAUUAGAUACCCUGGUAGUCCACACUGUAAACGUUGAUUACUCGCUGUGUGCGAUAUACAGUACGCGGCUUAGCGAAAGCGAUAAGUAAUCCACCUGGGGAGUACGCCGGCAACGGUGAAACUCAAAGGAAUUGACGGG